CUGCUCCUCCCCACAGCACCUCACCGAUGCUCUCAUCGUCCAUGGUCAUGGACCCUGCGCUGCCGCCCCGCUGCCAAGACCUUGCCUUCAGGAACCCUAUGAGCUUUAUGACCAACCAGUACAUGCCCGGGGAGGCCUCCCAGCUGCUGCCCGGAGGCCCCUCGCCAGAGCCGCGGGAUGAGGAGAUGCCCGAGCUGGCCCCGUUCACGCCAAUGGACGCGCCGCUGCAGAGCUCCCCAAGGUGGAUGGCGCCCAGCAUGGACCUGCCGCCCAGCUCGGAGUUCGACCAGUUCCUCCAGGAGAUGUCCCUGGAGAGCCCCGCGCUCUGCCCCCCCUUCACGCCCCCCCUGCAGCGCAGCGGAUACCCCAGCCCCAACGCUUCGUGCUGGGGGCUGGGGGAGUCCCGGUGGGAUGACAGCGUGCGGCCGGGGCACGCGUGAGGGGGCCACGGGGGCCGUGGGACUGUGAGCCCCGACGCAGCCUCGUCUGGGCUCCUGGACUUGACACGAUUUGCGCCGGGGUAGCAAACUCUGGCAGGGGAGGGGAGGGAAUUUUCCGGGGGGAGGCAGCACUUCGGGUGACACCCUGCCCCCCCCCCAACCUGUGUAUACGCUGCACUUUGGAGCACGGAGCCGCUGCCUGCCCUUGCCGCUGCCAGCGGGGGGGCCCCGACCCGCGUGGGGGUGCCCCCGGCCUCGCCGCCAAGCUCGGUGCCCCCAGCCCACGCUGCCGGG
rnacentral:lncRNA from 1 species